GAUGAACGCUAGCGAUAGGCCUAACACAUACAAGUCGAGGGGCAUCACAUGAAGUAGCAAUACGGAUGGUGGCGACCGGCGCACGGGUGAGUAACACGUAUGCAACCUGCCUUCAACAAGGGGAUAACCCGUUGAAAGACGGACUAAUACCCUAUAACACAGGGGUCCCGCAUGGGAAUAUUUGUUAAAGGACAACCGGUUGAAGAUGGGCAUGCGUUCCAUUAGCUAGUUGGCGGGGUAACGGCCCACCAAGGCAACGAUGGAUAGGGGAACUGAGAGGUUUAUCCCCCACACUGGUACUGAGACACGGACCAGACUCCUACGGGAGGGCAGCAGUGAGGAAUAUUGGUCAAUGGACGCAAGUCUGAACCAGCCACGUCGCGUGAAGGAAGACGG
rnacentral:rRNA from 1 species